rnacentral:rRNA from 1 species
CACGUAGGCACCAAGCGUUGUCCGGAUUUAUUGGGCGUAAAGAGCUCGUAGGCGGUUCAGUAAGUCGGGUGUGAAAACUCUGGGCUCAACCCAGAGAGGCCACUCGAUACUGCUGUGACUUGAGUACGGUAGGGGAGCGGGGAAUUCCUGGUGUAGCGGUGAAAUGCGCAGAUAUCAGGAGGAACACCAGUGGCGAAGGCGCCGCUCUGGGCCGAAACUGACGCUGAGGAGCGAAAGCGUGGGUAGCAAACAGG